AUUUUUUUUUUGGGGGGGGGGGGGCAACUUGCAAAAUCAUCAGUUUCAUAAAGCAACAGGUUACCAUAGCUUCCCUAUUAGAAGCGCACUCACGGAUUUCCAGGGGUACACAUUAUCACAGUUAUUGUGGCCCUU